CUCGGCGUUAGUUAAACUGCAGUACCGCCAGUCUCCUCUGGGUACAUGGGAUGGCGUACUUCCCAACCGGAACCCUGGCCCCAAAACGUGAUGACUUCAAAUCCGCUUCGAUUUCCGUUUCAUUGACAUACGGGAACAGGAACCACAACAGUAGCUGGCUGGUGGCCCAAAACAUUGAGAAAAAUCUCACUUUCAAAGGGCUUGUGCCUGAGUCCGACCUCCGUGGAUGGAAGUGGAGAUUGCGUUGGAGAUGGGUCCUGAGAGAAUCUUACCGAACUCUGAGGAGGAGCUAGGUCAGGAGCGGCCGUCGGACGCCGGGGUGCCUGAGGUGGGCGGGGGGUGGAGUGGAGAGGACGAGGGCGGUGUGGGAGACGAGGAUGAUAAUGGAGGUUACUAUUACCAGCCACUAAACCAGGACCCUGAUGGACUAAAUGCUGCACCAGGGGACCAUCCUGAGGAUAUGCCCCCAGUAGCAGAGCAACUGCAAGAAGUCCAGGAGAGAAUAGAGUCGAUGGGCUUGCAUCUUCCCCAGCCCCCUCCCCCAGACAGUGAUGAGGACCCAGAAGGAGCACAGUGCAGCACAGUCUCCAUCCCCAUGGAUGAAGACCACGUGGAGCUGGUGAAGAGGACCAUGGCAGCGGUGGCCCUGCCCUCUCUGGCCAUCCCAGCCUGGGCUCAGGAGAUCUCAGACGACCAGUGGAAGGACAUGGUCCAGCAGACGCUCCAGACUCGCCAAAGCUCAGAAGGCCUGAGGCUAGAGCGCAAAUAAGACUGAAUUGCCUCCUUCCCUCAGUCUGUCUGUAACUCUGCCCUGCAUUUCACCAACACACUUACCCGAGGUCCUCUCUGAGCCGAGGUCCUCUCUGAGCCGAGGUCUUAGGUGUCUCACUUCUCAAAAGAUUGAACUCCUCUACGUCCAAGUCUUAUUAGAUGAUAUCUCUGAUGAAUAUUUGUUUUUCAAAGUAGGCUCUUGGUACCUACUACACCUAACCUGCUGCUUAAGGUCAUUUGUAGGGUUUAAGGUGAAGGAGUUCGAAUGACUAUAGUAUAUUUUGUCUCUCAGAUCAGGCAAACUCUUACGGUUUCUGCUCUGGAAGAACUUGUGCACUGGAGUACAUAUGAGGCUGAAUGACAGAUAAAGCCAGUUGGCCUUGAGUACAGAAGCACUAUUAUCCCCCCCCCACAAAAAAAGCUUCCUGAGACAUUCCAGUGUAUAGUCAUACCAUCCUUUCCAACACCAGAUCGCCUUUGUUUUGUUUUUAAUGUGAUUCCCAUAUUGUAAUACUAUUAAAUCAGUCUUUGUUGAACGUAA